UUUAAAGUUGGUAUAGCCGAAGUUUGUGGAGAAGGCCUGCACUACGUAGGGGCAGUGAUCGUGGACCCGGCAGCAGCUCCACGAAGUUUUGAAGUGCAGGCUUCCGAAUCUACAUUACCAAGUUGGUCAUAGUUCUCGGCGAUGUUUCCAGCUCCACACCAGAGCGUCCCAGGCCCCAAUCUGCACACGUGCAUGAAGGACUUCACCUCCAUCUGGCUGCGUGUUACGGAGCAGUCAGCAAGGUCCCCGGCGAGAUUGCGAAGCGUGCGCACCUCCUCGGCGCCAUCCGACACUUGGUGGAGGUAGUUUCCUGCAAGCCUGGUACUCCUACCGCAGAAGGGCGGGUAGUUGGAGUUUACUCACGGACGAUGUCACCGACGCGCCUUGAGCCGCUUUUCUCCAGCUCCGCCAAGACGUUGGCCUCGAAGGUCAGCGACGCCACGCGGAAGAACAACUCCCGAACGUUCUCACCUG